GAACGUCGGUUUGUUGUUUGAAAACGAAAAUGUCUGUCGAAUGAUGAACGGCGAACAUACAUGUGUUGUGUAGGCCUACCAGGGUGCAGGUCAAAACGCCCCCUACCAUAGCGCCCGCUCGUUUUGGUCAAAAGCAUUGUUGUGCGUUAGCCGAUAUAUAAGUGGGUAAAAAUAACUCCCAGAUCACUUAGAAACAAUAAUGCAUGCAUAAAUCAGAAAAAUGAACGUGUUGCAUCUUUGUUAACACAUGAUAGACUUUCUGUACGUGAAGGGCCUUCUCCUUUUGUAUUGCCAAGGGUUAUCUUGCGGAGGGUUUUUUGCAAGGGAGACAACUAAACAGUUGAUGAAGAACUCAACUCAGAUGUCAUCCUGGCUCAGCGGGGGGCAUUAGUAGCGACUGAUGAACAUAUUUUCACAGGUUUUACUCUCAAACUCUGUUUAUAAUCAGAACCGGUUCUUCUGACUCUCAUAUCUAAAAAUGGCAAAAAUAAUCCAACACUGUCAUACUAAAGUGAAAUAUUCUUGACUUUACUGCAAACACGAAUCAAGACAGAAAAUCAAAAUAAAUGACAGCCGGUAUUCUACGUAUAAAAGCCUUCAACAAUUUCAUAAGUGAAAACAGAAAAAAAAAGAUGAAUGAGCAAUGUAUAUUAUAACUUCUUAUUUAUGGCAAACGUAACUCUUAUAUGAAUUGUAAAGUAAAUUCCCAUUCUUGAUUACAGUCAAGAACAGUAUAGAAAGGCUUCUAUAUAAAUAAGGCACAAAAGGGGGCUGGGAAAAGUGGAUUAAUAAUAGGGGGCAGUCAUGAAACAAUACCUGAACACAUACCUUGAGAAUGUCGUCCUCACUUUUGGCUUUGAUUAACCUAUCGAUAGCGUCAAUAUCAAAAGAAAAGAAAAGACAUAAAAAUAAACUAGAGCAUGUUGUUACUGUGCCCUUUAUAAGCACAAGAAAACAGCUUUUCACCACUCCAGUCCUAGAUGUCGUACGUAGAAUACCCAUGCCGCUCUCUGCACAUUUCCUUAUGGUGGGAUAUUUUCGUUGUCUAUGCGUUGUCUGCAGUUUGGAAGGGAGAGGAAGAGAACAUGCUCUUCAGUGCGAUGACUGUGAUAGAUGGCAAAAUGCACGCCAGCAACGUUGUCGGCCCGAUGCCAUCUCCUAUUGAUGAUAUCAUUACAGGAGAGGUCACCUACCACUUGAUGGCCGAUGGGUUGCAGAAGGGAAAAGAAAACUAGUGGAAAGCACGGGGUUUUCAUAUGUUGUAAAGAAUAUGGCAGGAGAAGGCAUCUUCCAAUCAACAUCUACCAUUGUGGAAGAGGUCAUCGCCGAGAAUGUUGAUGACAGAGAACCCUGUCCAUCUUUGUCUGCUCUGUGAAAUCUUAUAAGGAGGGUGAACCGCGCCUGACAAUAUAUGAGGCCGGCGGAGCCCAAGGAUCUGGAUUUUGAGAAGACUGCGUUCCGGAGGACUUUCUCCAAAGUGAUAUCAGAGUGGGAAACUUCCCCCAUCUCCUCUUCUACACCAGAGAACAGCUCAGUUUAUUAGGAAGAUGCAGGCCAUGGUACAUGGAUAAUACGUUAUCCAUGUACCAUGAAUAACGUUUACGGUCUCUUGAAAGCUGGGUGUGACGCCAAGCAAGUUCCACUCGCAUUCGCCUUGAUGUCGAGAAAGAGGAGGAUACACUACAAGAAGAUAUUCAGAUGAGGCAUUGAAUGUCACCGGGAAUGAAACCCAAGGCUGGAGUGGCUGACUUUGAGGCUGGUAUAUGGACUGGUUUCUGGGAGGGUGUUUCCCAAUGCCAAAGUGAGAGGCUGCUUGUUUCACUGGAACCAAGCCACCUUCAGGAAGAAGCUUGGACUUGAAGUCGCCUACAGAUGUCAGGAUGCCAAACUGCAAACUAAUCAGAAAAGUUAUGCCCUUUCCAUAUCUCCCUGCUGAAUACACACCAACUUAUGGAAUUGAUGGCGUACGUGGACACUACGUGGAUGUCGAGUUUGGUGUGGCCCAUACCAUCAUGGACUGUGGACACUACGUGGAUGUCGAGUUUGGUGUGGCCCAGGUGAUCAUGGGCUGUGUGGACACUACGUGGAUGUUGAGUUCGGUGUGGCACAGACGAUCAUGGACUGUGUGGACACUACGUGGAUGUUGAGUUUGGUGUGGCCCAUACCAUCAGGGACUGUGGGCACUACGUGGAUGUUGAGUUUGGUGUGGCCCAUACAAUCAUGGACUAUGUGGAGGCUAUGUGGAUGUUGAGUUUGGUGUGGCCCACACGAUCAUGGAGUAUGUGGAGGCUGUGUGGAUGCUGAGUUCGGUUUGGCCCAGAUGAUCACGGACUGUGGACACUACGUGGAUGUUGAGUUCGGUGUGGCCCAUACCAUCAUUGAGUAUGUUUGGACAGAGCGUGCAAACUUUAUGCUGAUUGAUGUUUAUUGAUCUGCUUGUCAUUAUUAUUUAUUGCAC